rnacentral:lncRNA from 10 species
GUUGCUGACACCAAGAAGGAGGCCAGUCUGUGAUCUAAGCUGAGUACAGUGUUGAGAAGAAGCAAUCAUGGUAACAGCAGCUUAAACGAAGUGGAAGUUUCUCUUUCUUACAUUUCAAGAGGAGUGGAAUCCGUCAGUUUGGGGCUGAUAUGGUGCCAUAUGUUGUUAGACACUCAUUCCUUUUCCACCCUGGCAUCCCUUGUUUCAUGGCAUCCUGCAC